rnacentral:rRNA from 1 species
CAGCUAAUUGCGCGUCAACUUGUGAACUGCAGGACACAUGAACAUUGACAUUUCGAACGCACAUUGCGGUCCUCGGAUACUGUUCCCGGACCACUCCUGGCUGAGGGUCGUAU